AUAGCAGUUCUAGUGUCACAUCACAAUAGGCACUAUGGUAACUGUUCUCAAUUCCAACUUGCUCUGUUCUUUCCAACCUACCAGUUUUGCUUCACAAUCAGCCCUUGAUAUCUGCUGGAGUCUGGUUCCAAGACCUCCCCCUCUAUGGAUACCAAAAUCUAUGGAUGUUCCAGUCCCACGUCAUGGUUUAUCCAAAUGAACUCUGGGACAGAGAAGUCCAUAAGUGUUGCUACACCUGAGAUUUGUGAUCGAGGAGGUAACUGGAUUGCUUUGUUAUUUAAGUUGAUAGAAUAGACUUUGUUAUUCCCAGAUCAAAAUGGUAAUCUUCUUCCAGGCAGUUUUCUUGCAUGAAGAAAUGCUCUUCUUUGAAGGUAGUAUAGAGUUGCUACAGGCAGAGUGAUAAUAUCAGCCUCUACUGCAUCCAAAAUAAGUUUGUAUCCACAAGUGAAUGUAAAAAAAAAACA